rnacentral:rRNA from 1 species
UACGGGGGGAGCAAGCGUUGUUCGGAAUUACUGGGCGUAAAGGGCGCGUAGGUGGCCCGGUCAGUUCGUGGUGAAAGCGCGGGGCUCAACCCUGCGUCGGCCAUGAAUACUGCCGCGGCUGGAGCACUGUAGAGGCAGGCGGAAUUCCGGGUGUAGCGGUGGAAUGCGUAGAGAUCCGGAAGAACACCGGUGGCGAAGGCGGCCUGCUGGGCAGUUGCUGACACUGAGGCGCGACAGCGUGGGGAGCAAACAGG